GCGGGUGUGGCGGAACUGGUAGACGCGCUGGAUUUAGGUUCCAGUGGAGCAAUCCGUGGAGGUUCGAGUCCUCUCACCCGCACCA
rnacentral:tRNA from 3 species